rnacentral:rRNA from 1 species
UACGUAGGUGGCAAGCGUUGUCCGGAAUUAUUGGGCGUAAAGCGCGCGCAGGCGGUCCUUUAAGUCUGAUGUGAAAGCCCACGGCUCAACCGUGGAGGGUCAUUGGAAACUGGGGGACUUGAGUACAGAAGAGAAGAGUGGAAUUCCACGUGUAGCGGUGAAAUGCGUAGAGAUGUGGAGAAACACCAGUGGCGAAGGCGACUCUUUGGUCUGUAACUGACGCUGAGGCGCGAAAGCGUGGGGAGCAAACAGG